rnacentral:rRNA from 1 species
UACGUAGGGGGCAAGCGUUGUCCGGAUUCAUUGGGCGUAAAGAGCGUGUAGGCGGCCAGGUAGGUCGGUUGUGAAAACUGGAGGCUCAACCUUCAGAGGUCGACCGAAACCAUCUGGCUAGAGUCCGGGAGAGGAGAGUGGAAUUCCUGGUGUAGCGGUGAAAUGCGCAGAUAUCGAGAGGAACACCUGCGGCGAAGGCGGGUAGCUGGGCCGACACUGACGCUGAGGCGCGAAAGCCAGGGGAGCGAACGGG